rnacentral:rRNA from 2 species
UAGAGUUUGAUCCUGGCUCAGGAUUAACGCUAGCGACGUGCCUAAGGUAUGCAAGUCGAACGGUGAAUAUUUUGUAGCAAUACGAAAUAUUCAUAGUGGCAAACGGCUGAGUAAUACGCAGGAACAUUCCCCAGAGUCUGGAAUAGCUCAUCGAAAGAUGGGGUAAAGCCAGAUACUCUCUUCGGAGCAAAACUACGGUGCUUUGGGAUUGGCCUGCGGCCUAUCAGGUAGUUGGUGAGGUAAUGGCUCACCAAGCCUAUGACGGGUAACUGGUCCGAGAGGAUGAUCAGUCAGACUGGGACUGCGAUACGGCCCAGACUCCUACGGGAGGCGGCGACUAGGAAUCAUGCACAAUGGACGAAAGUCUGAUGCUGCGACGUCGCGUGAAGGAUGAAGGCCCUAGGGUUGUAAACUUCUUUUAUAUGGGAACAAAUUUUGAGUGUACCAUACGAAUAAGUGCCUGCUAACCACGUGCCAGAAGCAUCGGUAAUACGUGGGGCACAAGCGUUAUCCGGAUUUACUGGGCGUAAAGAGAUGCGUAGGCGUCUUUGUAAGUCUGAUGUUAAAUCCAGAUGCUCAACAUCUGGACCGCGUUGGAAACUACAAGGAUUGAGUGAGGUAGAGAAAAGGGGAAUUCCUGGUGGAGCGGUUAAAUGCAUUGAUAUCAGGAGGAAUACCAAUUGCGAAGGCACCUUUUUGGACCUUUACUGACGCUAAGGCUCGAAAGCGUGGGGAGCAAAACGGAUUAGAUACCCGUGUAGUCCACGCCGUAAACUAUCCCUGUUAGAUGUUUGGUUAUCUUCCAAGAUUUCUCUUCGGAGAGGUUAAGGGAUUAACUGAGUGUCGCAGCUAACGCGUUAAACAGGGCGCCUGGGGAGUACGGCCGCAAGGUUAAAACUCAAAGGAAUUGACGGGGACCCGCCCAAGCAGUGGAGCGCCUGGUUUAAUUCGAUGAUCAACGAAGAACCUCACCUGAGCUUGAACUGUAGCUGCAUCUUUCCAGAAAUGGAUUGAGCCUUCGAGGGUGCUACAGAGGUGCUGCAUGGCUGUUGUCAGCUCGUGUCGUGAGAUGUCGGGUUAAGUCCCACAACGAGCGCAACCCCUGUCCGAUGUUAUAAUUACUUCGGAAACUGCCCUACCAAAUUAGGGAGGAAGGAGGGGACGACUUCCAGUCAUCAUAUCCCUUAUGUUCAGGGCUACACAGACGCUACAAUGGCAGUUACAAUGGGUUGCCAAGCCGCGAGGCGGAGCUAAUCCCAUCAAAAAUUGUCUCAGUUCGGAUUGAAGGCUGCAACUCGCCUUCAUGAAGUCGGAAUUGCUAGUAAUCGUGUAUCAGCAUGGCACGGUGAAUACGUUCUCGGGUCUUGUACACACCGCCCGUCAGGGCACGGGAGUUGCUCUUGCUCGAAGCCCUCAUUUAUCGAGGUCGAAAGCUAAGGGUGGCGACUAGGCUUAAGUCGUAACAAGGUAGCC